rnacentral:rRNA from 1 species
UAGGGAGUAUUAGUAAUGGGCGAAAGCCUGAACUAGCGACACCGCGUGUGCGAAGAAGGCCUUCGGGUUGUAAAGCACUUUUAGAGAGGAUGAGGAAGGACGGUACUCUCUGAAUAAGUCUCGGCUAACUACGUGCCAGCAGCCGCGGUAACACGUAGGAGGCAAACGUUAUCCGGAUUUACUGGGCGUAAAGCGCGUGUAGGUGGUUCUGUAAGUAGGGCGUGAAAGCUCCCGGCUCAACUGGGAGAGGCCGUUCUAAACUGCAGAGCUAGAGGAUGGUAGAGGGAGGUGGAAUUCCGGGUGUAGCGGUGGAAUGCGCAGAUAUCCGGAGGAACACCAGUGGCGAAGGCGACCUCCUGGGCCACUCCUGACACUCAGGCGCGAAAGCUAGGGUAGCAACCGG